rnacentral:rRNA from 1 species
ACCCACGACAAAUCUUACCACUUCUUGCAUAUUCUAGUUCAGAGUUAAUGUGAAGAUAAUUUUAUUUAUAAAUACUUAUACUAGUAUUAUGAAUGGAUUUUAAAUUCCCUUAACUACACUUGAAUACAGGUGUUGCAUGGCUGUCUUUAGUUCGUGUUGUGAAAUGUUAGGUUCAUUCCGUGAACGAACGUAAUCCUUAUCUUUAAUUACAAUGACAGAAUAAAAUUCAAUUGGAAUUUAUUGGAAUUCCAUUUGAAUUCCGAAUGAAUAUUUAAUAAAAUUCAUUCUGGAAGCGUUCACUCAAUUAAAGAAGUAUCUUUUGAUAAGAAAGAAUAAUUAGGCCGAAGACAAGUCCUCAUGACCCUUAUGGAGUGGGCUACAGACGUGCCACAAAGAUUUCUACAAAGGGAAGCAAAGAUGGAAGUCCGAGCAAAUCCUCAAAAGAA